rnacentral:rRNA from 1 species
AUGGGGAGACUCGUGAAGGAUUUUGGUAAGGGUACUUCUGCUGCUUGUGUUGAAGAUUGUGAUGAUUCAGAUGGGGGUCCUUUUGUCCCUAAUGAUUUUGCGGAGGAUGAUCCUUUUCAAGCUUCGGAGGAAGGACAAAUGGAUGAUCCUGAUUUCGACAAAGCUUUGUAUGAGUUCUACGUGUCUCAUAAAGUGAAUUGCUUAAAACGGAAGAUUAGAAAUGUUGGAGCUCGCAAUGUGAAGUGCAAGAGGUCUUCUGAUUUUCCUGUAGCCAAUACAUUCACUAGAUACUCAAGUUGUUCUCCACUGUUAUUGGUGGCUUGUCUCCUAGGCAAGUCCGUGUUCUUCAGAGUUAUAGGGCAGAUUGCCUUCUCAAAUAUGUGA